rnacentral:lncRNA from 1 species
AUGUAUCUCAGAUUUGUUGUUUUGUUUUGGAUGGAUUUUUGUUUGUUUCUUUCUUUUUGCAGUAAGCACCAUAAAUAUAAAAGCAAAAGAAAGAUAUCAUUCCAUGGCUCUCUUCUGCUUCACUGCCUUCAGAUAACCACAAACGUCUGCAGUGUGUGGCAGCAGGGGAUGACCUCCAGCUGGGCUGUGAUAAAAUCACAACUAGCAGCAAAGCUAGUUCAGUUGCCGUUGUGCUGUUGUUUUGAGCUGGAGGAACCUGGAUUCCUUGGCCUCCAGGACCAGCUCGUAGAACUCCUUCUGAGUAUGAAAAUGGUGAUAAUGUUAUUUACCAAUGCAUGCAUUUUCUGUGAAAAUUCUGUAUGUCCAAUGAUUACCAAAAACUGUUGGAGAUUGGAGGAAGAUAGUUGUGGUAACCCUCCCCACAAAGAUGUCAACUGCGUGGAAGUGGAUCUGCCCCAAGACUAAGAGGAGCUCAUGGACCCAUCUCUGGUGCAACAGUUGCAGUGGGACACCACAAGAACGAAUCCUAGUGUUGCAGUCAGAUAUUUCUGGAAUCACAGGAGAGUGAUCAUAGGAUGAGCAGUUCUAUAUUCACAGAG